AUUGAACGCUGGCGGAAUGCUUUACACAUGCAAGUCGAGCGGCAGCGCGGGGGCAACCCUGGCGGCGAGCGGCGAACGGGUGAGUAACACAUCGGAACGUACCCAGUUGUGGGGGAUAGCCCGGCGAAAGCCGGAUUAAUACCGCAUACGACCUGAGGGUGAAAGGGGGGGAUCGCAAGACCUCUCGCAGUUGGAGCGGCCGAUGGCGGAUUAGCUAGUUGGUGAGGUAAAGGCUCACCAAGGCGACGAUCCGUAGCUGGUCUGAGAGGACGACCAGCCACACUGGGACUGAGACACGGCCCAGACUCCGACGGGAGGCAGCAGUGGGGAAUUUUGGACAAUGGGCGCAAGCCUGAUCCAGCAGUGCCGCGUGCAGGAAGAAGGCCUUCGGGUUGUAAACUGCUUUUGUACGGAGCGAAAAGGUCUUCCCUAAUACGGGAGGCUGAUGACGGUACCGUAAGAAUAAGCACCGGCUAACUACGUGCCAGCCGCCGCAGUAAGAC
rnacentral:rRNA from 1 species